UCGCAGAGACAGCACCACCCAGCCACCCACAUCAUCGUUUCUGGCGUCGCGGAGACGCGGACAGCACCCGCCACCAAGCCACCGAGUCAAGUCAGAUAUGGAGCCUCCAAUUCAGCUCAGAGGAUGUCCUUCACAAUUAACAUAGAAAGCUCUUCCUUGUUUUGGGUGGUUGCCUCCAAGUUAGGGAAAUUCUGGUUUAGGGUUGAUUCUGAACUUUUUAGUUUAGAGGAAGACUUUGGAAGCUG